UCCUGGAGCCCAGGAGUCAUUUUAAUUCCUCACCAAGAUAUUUACUGCCCACCCUGUCACUGGAGGCACUGUGCCUCUUCUCCCACUAUGCAGAGGAGGUUUUCUCAUUCUACUCCAGCUCUAGGCAGAAAUGAGCUCACAUGGGCACCAUUAUAAGUUCAAUCAUACAAACAGCAAAGCAAAGCUUGAAUAGACAGCAGGUUGAUGGGGGCAAAAACAAGAAGUAAACUGAAGCUGUCUAUUUGUGUGUCAUUUUUCUGUGCUUCCAUAAUUUUUUUUUAAUAAAGACUAUGCAGUGUUUAUUGUUGCAUGCUAACACCCCUUCUCUCCCUGACAUCGAGGAAGAGCUAUACCUGCCUACCAAACCUUUCCUGACGAGGAAAAAUGGAUCAGGAAGCAGUAGGAAAUUAGUCAGACACAUAUCUUAUAUUCAGAGAGUAGGAAUGCAGCCAGUGAGAAUGUAAGAUGAAGAUUUUAGCACCUGCAGACCAAGUUUAUAGGACUUAGCAGUCACAGCUGAAUACCACUACAGAAAUGAAAAAGCUUUCCACAGAGGACACUAUAGCUCCAUGACAAAAGAGAUGUCCUUGUGUGCAUGUGACUAAAUGCAGAGCGCAGAAAAAAUGUGGUAGCACAAGCAAAGCUUUGCCUUUGAAUGCUUGAUCUGAGUUAACACAGACAUCAAUCAGUCUGAAGGACAUCAUCUCUGGAAUUGUCUCAGAAGGUAAAUUACAUAAUCAAAAGUAUCGUUUUUCUGAAAAGAAUCCUAAGUGAGUUCCUUACUUCAGGACUACAUUCAGAGAGCUGGAUAAAAUGGAAGUUGGUAAGAGUCCAGACUUCUAAAGAAGAAAGACUAAGGCCUUGACACGAAAUGUAAAUACACCUGUCAAUCAACAUUAGGGGGAGCAUAGGCAUCACCUAUGAACACACAGGUUGAAUGAAUAUUGUACCAGUCAUACUCUUCCAUUUAUUCAUUGUCUCUGGUUAUGGUUGCUAGGCUUGGAUGACAGACACAUUCUAUGUGUUAAUUUCCUAAUUAGAAACUUGGUUUUGAAUGUUCCACCACAUACUUCUUAUUUAAGACCUACACAUAAGAGGGAUCACUGCAUAGAGGACACUGUUCCCUAAGAUCUCAUACAGAUCCAGAAAUAAAUGAAGAAAAUUCAGUAAAGUCCAAGAAAACCAAAGGAUUUUUUUCACAAAUACAUUUUCCCAUGAGUGUCCCAUAAAUACUUCCUUUAGCAAAUUGAUAUAGAAGACCUGUACCCAGAGAUUAAGUGAUCUGAAUUCACUUCCUCCUCUAUCAGAGACAUUGUUAAUGAGGGUGGCCAUUUAGGGUGAGAGGCACAAAACAAGCAACAGGAAGUAUGUGGAACAGAGAGAGACAGCUCUGCUCUGAGGGCCACCUCUUUUAGACAGACUUUUAGCCAGGUGCAACCUCUUUUCUCUAGAUUUCUGAGCUGGCUCUUCUCACACCACGUGUGUCAGAGGUACAGUGGAUCACAACAAAUGAUGUCUGGUUAUGGGGUCAUGGCUUAUCUGCCCUACUCUGUCUGAUAUGGAGCAACAUUUGGUAUCUGGACUUGGGAAGCAUCAUAACACCAGAUCUCUGUAGGACACCAGAUGGAUGUGAUUCCAUUGACUUGCUGAAGCUGUUUUAUGACUGGUAAAUCCAGCCAGCAUGAAGCCUGACUUUUUCUAGUGAUGGCUGUGGGCACCCUUCUGAACUGUGGAUAGUUUGGUGUCAGGGCUUGUCUGGUUGAGCAGCAGCACAUCAGCUUUACCAGCAGACAUGUAAGAAUCUGGACACUGCCUCUUUUUGCAUUUAAAAACGGCAAGGUUUUUUUUUCCCUAUUUCCACAAAUCCCCAGGAAAAGUACAGCAAAGAAAAUCCAUCAUUUGCCUCAGAUUUCAAGCUUCAGAGCUUUCCCCUUUGGAUGGCUUGGUGUGCCUGAUCAUAAUGCAUAGUGUGCAAUACCUUAAACAGCUGGGUCUUCUGCAAGGGCAGAUAGCUCCAGAAAAAAAAAGAAAGAGUAAGCAUUUGCAAUUUAAGUGGUAAAUAA